AGAUAUGAUCCAGAGUACCACGGGACACGUGAAACCCUGUGGGAAGCAGGAGGGACCACCCUCCAAGGCUAAAUACUACCUAGUGACCGAUAGCGUAUAGUACCGUGAGGGAAAGGUGAAAAGAACCCCGGGAGGGGAGUGAAAUAGAACCUGAAACCCUGCACUUACAAGCUGUGGAAGCACAUUUCUUGUGUGACCGCGUACUUUUUGUAGAACGGGCCAACGAGUUACGUUAAGUAGCAAGGUUAAGCACUUAAGGUGCGGAGCCGUAGCGAAAGCGAGUUUUAACUGAGCGUUCAGUUACUUGACGUAGACCCGAAACCGGGCGACCUACCCAUGAGCAGGAUGAAGCGAAAGUAAAAUUUCGUGGAGGUCCGAACCCACGAGCGUUGAAAAGCUCGGGGAUGACUUGUGGGUAGCGGUGAAAUUCCAAUCGAGCCCGGAGAUAGCUGGUUCUCCCCGAAAUAGCUUUAGGGCUAGCCUCAAGGUGAGAGAUACGGAGGUAGAGCACUGAAUGUCCUAGGGGGUAUUGCACCUACCGAAGACUAUCAAACUCCGAAUGCCGUCAUCUUAUACUUGGGAGUCAGACUGUGGGUGAUAAGAUUCAUAGUCGAAAGGGCAACAGCCCAGAUCGUCAGCUAAGGUCCCUAAAUGUAAGUUAAGUGGUAAAGGAUGUGGGAUUGCACAGACAACCAGGAUGUUGGCUUAGAAGCAGCCACUCAUUCAAAGAGUGCGUAAUAGCUCACUGGUCGAGUGAUCCUGCGCCGAAGAUUUCCGGGGCUAAAACUUACUACCGAAGCUACGGCAUCAGUAAUGAUGGGUAGGGGAGCUUCCCAUACGGGUUGAAGCAUGACCGUAAGGACAUGUGGACAGUAUGGGAGUGAGAAUGUUGGCAUGAGUAGCGAGAUGUGGGUGAGAAUCCCACAGGCCGUAAACCCAAGGUUUCCAGGGGAAGGUUCGUCCGCCCUGGGUUAGUCGGGACCUAAGCUGAGGCCGAAAGGCGUAGGUGAUGGACAACAGGUUGAUAUUCCUGUACUACCGAUAACCGUUUGAGAGAAGGGAUGACACAGUAGGAUAAGCUAAGCACACUGUUGGUUAUGUGUGCCCAAGCAUUGAGGCAGUCAAAGUAGGCAAAUCCGCUUUGAUAAUGCUGGGAUGUGAUGGGGAGCGAAAUUUAGUAGCGAAGUAGCUGAUUUCACACUGUCAAGAAAAGUCUCUAUCGAGGUUAAAGGUACCCGUACCGCAAACCGACACAGGUGGGUGAGGAGAGUAUCCUAAGGCCAGCGAGAGAACUGUUGUUAAGGAACUCGGCAAAAUGACCCCGUAACUUAGGGAUAAGGGGUGCCACCAUCAGGUGGCCGCAGAGAAUAGGCCCAAGCGACUGUUUACCAAAAACAUAGGUUUCUGCUAAGUCGCAAGACGAUGUAUAGGAGCUGACGCCUGCCCGGUGCUGGAAGGUUAAGGGGAUCUGUUAGAGCAAUCGAAGCAGUGAACUUAAGCCCCAGUAAACGGCGGCCGUAACUAUAACGGUCCUAAGGUAGCGAAAUUCCUUGUCGGGUAAGUUCCGACCCGCACGAAAGGCGUAACGAUUUGGGCACUGUCUCAACAACAGACUCGGUGAAAUUGUAAUUCCGGUGAAGAUGCCGGAUACCUGCGACAGGACGGAAAGACCCCAUGGAGCUUUACUGUAGCUUGACAUUGGGUCUUGGUACUACAUGUACAGGAUAGGUGGGAGGCUUUGAAACCAGGACGCCAGUUUUGGCGGAGCCAUCCUUGGGAUACCACCCUUGUAGUACUGGGACUCUAACCAUAGGCCAUGAAUCUGGUCUUGGGACACUGUCAGGUGGGCAGUUUGACUGGGGCGGUCGCCUCCCAAAAGGUAACGGAGGCGCUCAAAGGUUCUCUCAGUACGGUCGGAAAUCGUACGUAGAGUGUAAAGGCAAAAGAGAGCUUGAUUGCAAGACAUACAGGUCGAGCAAGGAUGAAAAUCGGACUUAGUGAUCCGGUG
rnacentral:rRNA from 1 species